UGGGGAAUAUUGGGCAAUGGACGCAAGUCUGACCCAGCAACGCCGCGUGAAGGAAGAAGGCUUUCGGGUUGUAAACUUCUUUUGUCAGGGAACAGUAGAAGAGGGUACCUGACGAAUAAGCCACGGCUAACUACGUGCCAGCAGCCGCGGUAAUACGUAGGUGGCAAGCGUUGUCCGGAUUUACUGGGUGUAAAGGGCGUGCAGCCGGGCCGGCAAGUCAGAUGUGAAAUCUGGAGGCUUAACCUCCAAACUGCAUUUGAAACUGUUGGUCUUGAGUACCGGAGAGGUUAUCGGAAUUCCUUGUGUAGCGGUGAAAUGCGUAGAUAUAAGGAAGAACACCAGUGGCGAAGGCGGAUAACUGGACGGCAACUGACGGUGAGGCGCGAAAGCGUGGGGAGCAAACA
rnacentral:rRNA from 1 species